rnacentral:other from 1 species
CGCUAUCAUCAUUUUUUAAUUAUUACCUUCAUUCACCCCGAAUGAGUUGUUUUAACCUUUCUAAUUGCCGGGCCUUAACCACCCGGCUUUUUUU